rnacentral:rRNA from 1 species
GACAGAGGGUGCAAACGUUGUUCGGAAUUACUGGGCGUAAAGCGCGUGUAGGCGGCUAUGUAAGUCGGACGUGAAAUCCCCAGGCUCAACCUGGGAACUGCGUCCGAUACUGGAUGGCUUGAAUUCGGGAGAGGGAUGCAGAAUUCCAGGUGUAGCGGUGAAAUGCGUAGAUAUCUGGAGGAAUACCGGUGGCGAAGGCGGCAUCCUGGACCGACAUUGACGCUGAGGAGCGAAAGCUAGGGGAGCAAACGGG